UCCGAGUUGUCCCCGGCAGUCUCCUUAGAGUCCCCGCCAUUACGCGCUGGCGACUAAGGACAGGGGUUGCGCUCGUUGCGGCACUUAAGCCAACACCUCACGGCACGAGCUGACGACAGCCAUGCAGCACCUGUGCUAGCCCCUUGCGGACACCGGCUUUCACCGGCUUUAACUAGCAUGUCAAGCCUAGGUAAGGUUCUUCGCGUUGCAUCGAAUUAAAGAACAUGCUCCGCUGCUUGUGCGGGCCCCCGUCAAUUCUUUUGAGUUUUAGCCUUGCGGCCGUACUCCCCAGGCGGUGUGCUUAUCGCGUUAGCUGGGGCGCGCACUCAUUUAAGAGCACACACCGAGCACACAUCGUUUACAGCGUGGACUAC
rnacentral:misc_RNA from 1 species